rnacentral:rRNA from 1 species
GAUGAACGCUGGCGGCGUGCCUAAUACAUGCAAGUCGAGCGAUCAGACGAGGUGCUUGUACCUAUGACGUUAGCGGCGGACGGGUGAGUAACACGUGGAUAAUCUACCUUUAAGACGGGGACAACUUCGGGAAACGGGUGCUAAUACCGCAUAAUAACUUUAAACACAUGGUUCAAGUGUGAAAGACGCUUUUGCUGCACUUUAUAAUUAUCCCCGCGUCGAAUUAGCUAGUUGGUAAGGUAACGGCUUACCAAGCCAACGUUCCUAAGCCGACCGGGAGGGGUGAUCGGCCACACGGGAACUGAGACACGCCCCAGACCCCAACGGGAGGCAGCGUUAGGGAAUCUUCCGCAAUGAGCGAAAGCCUGACGGAGCAACGCCGCGGGGUGGAGGAAGGUCUUCGGAUCUUAAAACUCUGUUAUUGAGGAAGAAGAAAUGUGUAAGUGACUAUGCACGACGUGACGGUACCUAAUCAGAAAGGCACGGCUAACUACGUG